rnacentral:siRNA from 1 species
GGAUCCGGUGCAUUAGUGCUGGU